rnacentral:lncRNA from 1 species
GUUUGGGAGUAGUGUGCUACAGAAAUAAACCUGCGACACGACCCGCGAUCACUACUCACAUGUGUUUCACCGCUUGCAUCUCUGUCAUGCCUUUGAUAACAUGCAUGUUCAUUCCUUUCAGAGUUAGUGACUAUGUUGACACUAGCUGGAUGCAGAGCCCAGGACCACAUUAUGUUUUCCCGAACGUGCUCCUUUCGGUUUUCCAGAACUUUCCUUUUGCCUCUUAACACAUUGUAUUUAGCGUUCUUCCAAUCUCUUGCUAAGUUUUUCCUUUAUAACUCUGUAAAAUGUCUCCCAAUCCAUUCCUCCUCACGAGGAGCCUGCCAUAUGAUCUAUCAUUUUUGUUUUCUUCCAGAACCCUCUGUCUCAGAGCUCUUGGCUGUCCUGUUUUAACCUGGAGUGGUGGCCCUACCGAAUGGCUGCCAGUUAUUGCUCAGGGACUCACUCUUUUCUUAUAUCCUGAGUCCUUUUUAAUUCUCUGGUCCCAAGUCGCCCAUUAAAUACCUCCUGUGCUUCCCUUUUCGUUUUCAGUAACUCUUGUUUUAUUUAUUUUUUUUUCCAGAAGCUCAUCUUCUAGAAGUUUCCUGAGAAAGCAAACAUGGGAAAUAGAAUUAAAAAAAAUAUUUAAAUAUUUGCAUAUGAGAAACUGGCUCUUCCUUUAUGUUUUAUGUCAUUUUUUGUUAGUGUACGAAGGAAUGGGUCUCACUGUGACAGUUCCAGACAUAUAUCAUCUCAGUUGUUCAGAGUCACUCCUCUGCCCUUCCCCUCUCCUCACCUCGUCCUUCUCCUCAGUACUAACUACCCCCUGCCUGCUCUCCUAGUGUAUAUAUUCCAUGCCCUCCCCUUCAGAUUUCUUUCUUCCUUCUUGUAACAUCCUUUCUACUUUCCUGUCAUACAUGUCAUGAAAUAUAUAAACAUAAUAAUUUUCGUCUAUAUGUUAUCUAGGAGAAAAAAUCGUGGUAUUUAUUUUCCUGAGUCCAGUUUCCUUUGUUUAGCAGGAUGAUCUCCAGUUCCAUCCACUUUCCUGUAAAGGUUGUCAUUUGACGUUCUGUACAGAUUGGGAAUAUGUUCCACAUUCCCUUUACACACCCACAUGUCAUUGUCUGCUGGUUGGUUCUGUAUCUUAGCUGUUAUGGAGAGUACUACAAUGGACAUAUAAGCAUCUUUUUUGUGUGUGUGCUGGCAGAGACCCUUAAGGGUGAAUAGUGUAACUGUUCAGGAGUAGUGUAACUGUGCCACGGAGCAUUUCUAUGUGUACAUUACGGAGUAAUCUCCAGACUGGCCUCCAUGCUUUCUGUCUUUACCAGCGGUAUGUGAGCAAUUUUCUUCCCCACGUGACCACCAGUGUUUGCUGUCUUCUGUUCUCUUGAUGCUAGCAAUUCUGACUUGGCUGAUAGAAUUCCAAAAUAGAUUUAAUUUGCUUUUCUCUUAUGCCUAGGAGGUUGAAUAACUUCUCCAAAUAUUUAUUAGCCACUCACAUUUUUUUUUCCUUCAACACGUAUCUAGUUAAUCCCUUAGCCCAUUUAUCAACAAUGGUUUUAAACAUUUUUAAGACUUUCUUAUCACACCCAUCUCUCUGUCUGUAGGUAUGUAUGCCAUGGCCUGUGUAUGGAGGUCAGAAGACAACAUUGGAAAGCAAGAUCUCUGCUCCCACCACUAUAGGGGUUCCAGGGUUCAAACCCAGGCUACCAGGUUGGCAACACAAGUCCCCUUGGAGACAUCUCACAAGGACCUGGAGAAUUCUGAUUUCUCUUGGAUGUAAUGCUUAUGAUUCCUCCCGAUUAACUUGUAGUGAACUGGACAAGUGUCUGAUAUUUAUCUUUAGCGGAUUCUCCUCCUUAGCCCUUUUUCUUGUGAGGGGAACCACCACUGGCCACACUUAGUUUUCCUCUCUGUAGAGUAUGCAGGCUCUCCCACUUUCCCUGGUUGUAGCCUGUAAGGUGGCUAAUGUUCUAGCAGGGUUUGGGAAAGCAACCAGAGUACUGAGAUUUGGACACACCUUUGAACUUUUAAACUGACUGAACAUGAAUGAAGAGAUGCACCUGUGGAGGUUCCAAGUUUAUGGACUCUACAGUGAGCUUCGUGCCUGGUAGUUGGGUCCAGAGGCUGAUACACCUGUUGAUUUCAGUUUCAAGGCUUUUGAAUAGUUGAACGAUUCGCAGUUGAUGACUACUGUUCCCAGGCAUCAGAAGUAGGCCUAACUUUCUCUAGACCCUGUUGCCUGGGCCACAUGCUUCCUGUACUCUAGCUUGUCAGCUUCUGGCCUUUUUUAUUCCCCAAAGCAGUUUCUCACCCUGGGGCUUUGGCAGGUUGAAUUCUGUAUCUCUCAAUACAGUGUUCCUGGUUUUCAGGCCUCUAGGGUAGCUUAUUGUUAAACAGCAGGCUCUCUUUCGAGAUGGUGUCUGGCAGUUACCCUCGGGGCUGAGGAAACAUCUCUCUACUUCUGAUUCAUGGCUGGCUGCAACAGUCUCUGCUCAGUGAGACUGCAGCCAGUUCUUAUGCUUGUGAGGCUAUGGGCUUGUCCUGAGGGUAGCAAUGCCAACUUCUUGUCACCAGGGUUUUCUUACAGAUGAGGCUUCUGUCUCCAGGCACCCUGGUGGAGUUGUUUCUGUUUCUUUGCAAUUUUCAGCCGCCCUACCAUCCAUUUCCUGGCUCUCUGAGGCUUUCUCUUCUUUCUUUGUAACGAAACCCACUUUUUAUUUCUUAUUUUGACACUUCGGUUUGUCACACAUAGGCAGCAUCUAGUCCUCCAUUUUAACAGGACAUCUACCUUUACUCUCCACUCAUAGUUUGGCUUGGUAUAAAAUUACAAAUUGGGCAUAAUUCCCCCAGAAGGGACUAUAGUCUUACCUGCCUGCCUUAUAGUGAACAAUGUUGUUAUUGAAAAUUUUCUUGAUAUUUUUCCAAUUUUUAAUAUUUGUCUUUUUAAAGGAUCUUUUCUUUAUUUUCAGAACUCUUAAAACUCAGGUCAUGAUGUGGAUUAAGUUUUUGGUCAUUGUGUGGUUUGAAUAAAAAUGGUACCCAUAGGCCCAUAGGAGUCGCACUAUUAUUAGGUGUGGCCUUGUUGGAGUAGGCGUGGUGUUAUUGGAGGAACUAUUUCUGUUGCCUGCUAAUUUAAAUGUAGAACUCUCAUCGCCUUCUCCAGCAUCAUUUCUAUCUGUAGGCUACCUGCUUCCUGCUAUCAUGAUAAUGGACUAAACCUCUGAAACUGUAAGUCAGAUCCAGCUGCCUUCUUGAUUUCUCCAUGUGAUAUUCUUCCAUGAGACAUUCUUUAAAUUCCUGUCUAGGACCAAAAGAUUACUUUAACAAAAUUGUAUUUUCUCCGAAAGAAUAGAGCUACCAUUAGUCAAGGAAAUCCAACUAUCACCAACAACAGUAUUAGGUAUUCAGAAAUCUAAGUUUUGUUUAUUCUGACAUUAUUAACAAUGGCUGUUAAAUCCACCCACUAUUAUUAUUGUUAUUAUUACUUCUUUUCUGACUUAGGCCACUACAAUAUCCUUCCUGCAUUUUGUCAAUGCCUUCACUACUUGCAUUUUUUAUUCCAGGUGAAUCUCAUUGCUUCUACUCUCAUCAGUCC